AAGAUUUUAAGUUAUUCUAAUAAACUUUAAACCUUCAAAGUUUAAUAAAUAAUUUUUUUAUAAAUCUUA
rnacentral:tRNA from 1 species